rnacentral:tRNA from 1 species
GCCCCAGUGUGGUAAUGGAUAUCCGUCGGGCCUGCGGAGCCCAACAUCCGGGUUCGAUUCCCGGCUGGGGCA